rnacentral:rRNA from 1 species
CAUGCAUGUCUAAGUAUAAGCAACUAUACGGUGAAACUGCGAAUGGCUCAUUAAAUCAGUUAUCGUUUAUUUGAUAGUACUUCACUACAUGGACAACUGUGGUAAUUCUAGAGCUAAUACAUGCUAAAAACCCCGACUUCGGAAGGGGUGUAUUUAUUAGAUAAAAAACCAAUGCCCUCCGGGCUCCUUGGUGAAUCAUAAUAACUUAACGAAUCGCAUGGCCUUGAGCCGGCGAUGGUUCAUUCAAUUUCUGCCCUAUCAACUUUCGAUGGUAGGAUAGUGGCCUACCAUGGUUUCAACGGGUAACGGGAAUUAGGGUUCGACUCCGGAGAGGGAGCCUGAGAAACGGCUACCACAUCCAAGGAAGGCAGCAGGCGCGCAAAUUACCCAAUCCGACACGGGAGGUAGUGACAAUAAAUACUGAUACAGGGCUCUUUCGGGUCUUGUAAUUGGAAUGAGUACAAUUUAAAUCCCUUAACGAGGAACAAUUGGAGGGCAAGUCUGGUGCCAGCAGCCGCGGUAAUUCCAGCUCCAAUAGCGUAUAUUAAAGUUGUUGCAGUUAAAAAGCUCGUAGUUGAACCUUGGGCCUGGCUGGCGGUCCGCCUCACCGCGUGUACUGGUCCGGCGGCCUUUCCUUCUGGGGAACCGCAUGGCCUUCACUGGCGUGUCGGGAACCAGGACUUUUACUUUGAAAAAAUUAGAGUGUUCAAAGCAGGCUUUGCUCGAAUACAUUAGCAUGGAAUAAUAGAAUAGGACGUGCGGUUCUAUUUUGUUGGUUUCUAGGACCGCCGUAAUGAUUAAUAGGGACAGUCGGGGCAUCCGUAUUCAAUUGUCAGAGGUGAAAUUCUUGGAUUUAUUGAAGACGAACUACUGCGAAAGCAUUUGCCAAGGAUGUUUUCAUUAAUCAGUGAACGAAAGUUAGGGGAUCGAAGACGAUCAGAUACCGUCGUAGUCUUAACCAUAAACUAUGCCGACUAGGGAUCGGUGGGUGUUAUUAUUUUGACCCAUCGGCACCUUACGAGAAUCAAAGUUUUGGGUUCUGGGGGGAGUAUGGUCGCAAGGCUGAA